rnacentral:lncRNA from 1 species
UUUUUAUUAGUUUAAUUUUCUUGUUCAUAUGUGAUGUAUAUGUGUAUGCGGCUAUAAUGUAUAUGUGAACAAAAAAAAUUGUAUGUAUGUAGAUUUUCAAAAUGUAUGAAUAUAUAUGUCAAAAAUGUUUUUUUGUUCAUAGAAAGUUUUUUGUUCAUAUAUAGAAAGUUUUUAUAUAUGACAAUGGAUAUAUAUUCGAUAUAUAUGAGAAAUGAUGAUCCACAUGGAAAAGUUUUAUAUAUGCAAAACUUACAAUUUUACAAAAGUUUUAUAUAUCUAGAUAGGAAGGGAAGAAGAAGAAAAAGAAGGAUAGGAAAGAAGAAAAUAAGAAGAGGAAAGAAAGAAGAAGAGGAGAGGAAGAAGAGGAGAUAUAAAUAAGA